rnacentral:lncRNA from 13 species
CUUCAGUAAUCAUAAAUUAUUCUCUCUUGUUUACUUACGAGGAAAAAUCAAAUUCCUGGAGAUUGCGUUUGCUAACGUCUUUUAAUAGAGCACUUUGGAGAUGUUUUGCUGGAAAGACAUUGAAGUUUCAAUUAAAUAAGAGAUCACAUGACAUUAUAUGUCAAAGCCAGAAGUGACCAGAAAAGCUGGCUUUGAAUUAUUGCUUCUCUACUGCUAUGGACUGAAAUUUGUAACCCCAGAAUUUUAACCCCUGAUGUAACUGCAUUUGGACAUUUAGCCUUUUGAAGAC